UACAGAGGUCCCAAGCGUUGUUCGGAUUCAUUGGGCGUAAAGGGUGCGUAGGCGGCGCGGUAAGUCGGGUGUGAAAUCUCCGGGCUUAACUCGGAAAGGUCAACUGAUACUGCGCGGCUAGAGUGCAGAAGGGGCAACUGGAAUUCUCGGUGUAGCGGUGAAAUGCGUAGAUAUCGAGAGGAACACCUGCGGCGAAGGCGGGUUGCUGGGCUGACACUGACGCUGAUGCGCGAAAGCGUGGGGAGCGAUCCGG
rnacentral:rRNA from 1 species